GACCUCCCAGGAUCGUGUCUAGAGAGUGGUUCAUAUUCUGCCAGCUUUGGAGACAGGAGGGAAAGCAAGCCUGGCAGAGGUUCCCAGCUUCCUCAGUAGCUGGAGAUUGGAGGACACUUUGCAACAGUG